AUCUGGCACAAGAUCUUAUAUAAAUUGAAAAUGUCUGAUAUAAGAAAAUUUACUUUACUCUAAAAUUUCCUUUACGGUUUAGUCCAUGUUUAAAAAUGUUUCUAAGACAAAUAUUUCAACCAGUGACUGACAGCAGGGACACCUGUGUGCUCUGGGUUCCAGACCAGCCAGUGGAGCUCUUUUCAGUAACAUAUGGCUGCUUUCUUUCUCACUCCAGUGAAAGGGAGACUGGUGCAUUACGGUCACCAAGAAAGGUUUGGUCACAACUGUUGAGUGAACACCUACAGCUUGGGGUUGAGCACUGUGCUCGCUGCUAUGAAGAAGGCCCAGUUUUAAGGCCUCAACUUUCACAGGGUUUGGAAUUUAAUCAGUGACAUCAUAAAAGGACCACAUAAGGCAGCCCACUAGCAGCAGAUGAAUAUCUCAUUCAUGGGAAUGUCUGACCAAACCUCCACCCUCUCUCCCAUCAUCCCCCACCCCCAACCAGCACACGUUUUAGCCCUAGAGAACCCCAAAUUGUCUUUGAACCUCACCUAUUCCUUAGUGUGCCCCAGGAAGCCAAGGGUAGCAUCAUUCGAUGGGCAAUGAGGAAAAGUAGAGAAGAGAAGAUAGCUAUUCUGUUUCAACAUAAUGAAACAGCCACCCUCGACUGACCACAUACUGGGGGCUGUACCAUGAGCUUUACCCACAUGAUCUGUGCUCCUCAAAUUCUUUCUAGGAGGCAGGUCUUGUACUCUCUUUUGCAGAAUGGUGACAUCGAGUCUGAGAAAAGAACUGACUUCCACAUCAAAGUCUUGGCUGUUCCUCACCUCCGUGACCACCUCUGCCUAUCCCUCCAACAUCUGGGCUCUAGGAUAAGAACUUCACUCAAACCAUCAGAAAGUGGUGAUAUUUUCCUUAUAAGUAUUCAAAGAAGAAAAUCUAGAAGCUUGUUGAGAUGUCCAGGUUUUUCAACAUCCUUAGAGUCAAGAGGCUUAAGACUUAACGUCUCAGGUAAUUCUUGCUCCAUAUGUAUUUCAUUUUCCCUUUCUUAUCUUCAGAUCCUCUUGAAAUUAAUUUUCCAUAGCCUACAAUAUUUUAGUUUGCUUCUAGUGUGCUCUAGACUAUAGCUGAAC